AUUAGAGUUUGAUCCUGGCUCAGGACGAACGCUGGCGGCGUGCUUAACACAUGCAAGUCGAGCGGAAAGGCCCUUCGGGGUACUCGAGCGGCGAACGGGUGAGUAACACGUGGGCAACCUGCCCUCAGCUCUGGGAUAACUCCGGGAAACCGGGGCUAAUACCGGAUACGACCUUCCCUCGCAUGGGGGUUGGUGGAAAGUUCUUCGGCUGAGGAUGGGCCCGCGGCCUAUCAGCUUGUUGGUGGGGUGAUGGCCUACCAAGGCGACGACGGGUAGCCGGCCUGAGAGGGCGACCGGCCACACUGGGACUGAGACACGGCCCAGACUCCUACGGGAGGCAGCAGUGGGGAAUAUUGCGCAAUGGGCGGAAGCCUGACGCAGCGACGCCGCGUGAGGGAUGAAGGCCUUCGGGUUGUAAACCUCUUUCAGCAGGGACGAAGCGGGAGUGACGGUACCUGCAGAAGAAGCACCGGCCAACUACGUGCCAGCAGCCGCGGUAAUAAU
rnacentral:rRNA from 1 species